CCAGAGCACAGGUCUUCAAGGACACUCUCUCAGCUCUCACAGCCACUUAGAAAUGGCUCCAGCGGCUCUGCUGGUUUCCUGACUGAAUUAAAAUCCAAGUCUAAAGUGGAAGAAUCCAGUUGACUAAACCGAGGUCACAAGCCUGUCCCUUAGCUGUCAAGGUUGGGAUGAGGGAGGAUCUGCUCUUUCUGCCUCUACCACUGGAGAUGGAUAGCUGCCUUCUACAAAAUUACGCACCGUGAGAAUUCAUUAAGAUCGAGGUAAGAAGAAAGCACACUCCACAAUCUGUCUCUCCACUAAAUGAAGCUAAGAAACCUGGGCAGAAUUUGUGUAGUAGCUCUUUGAAAACUAGAAGAAGUAAAAAAGUAGCAGGAAGAAGAAAGACGACAAAAAUUUGAGUUACAACCAAAUUUGUAGUGAUUUUACCGUAUUUUCCCCCUCAGUAUCCUUGGCUUAAAGUCAGUGCAGCUUGAAACCCAGAUAUGGGCAUCGGUGUGGAUAGAGUACAGGGGAAUCUAGAGUCUUAUUAUUUAGAGAACUUGAAUUCAUACUUAAAACUUUCUUAAAAAGAAAUCUGUAGACCACAUAUUAACUGAUGAAUCUAUCAAACAUCUAAAAAAAAUGUAGUACUAGUUCUAUAUAAUCUCUUCCAGAAAAUAGAAAGAGACAACACUCUUAACUUAUUUUGUGAGGCCAGCAUAAUACUAUUAUCAAAAUUAGGCAAAGAAACUAUGAGACAAAACAAAACAAAAAAACUACAGGCCAAUAAAAAUACAGGAGUGAGAAGUUUAAGAAAAUAUUAGAAAAUUGCAUCUAGCAAUAGAUAAAAUGAAUAAUAUAUUAUGGUGAAGUAGGAUUUGGCUCAGAACUGUCAAACUGGUUCAUUUAAAAGCUCAAUCAGUGUAAUUCAUCAUGACAGAGUGAACAUACUAAAAUACUAAAGAAACCUCAAAUAAGUUUAUGGAGAAAAAGCAUUUAACAAAAUUCAACAUAUAUUCACGAUAAAAAAAAACUGGUAAACUCAGUACACUUGGAAUAGAAAGAAGCUCCCUAAUUUUAAUAAAGGACACCUAUAAAAAUAACCUGCAACUAACAUUAUACUUAAUAGUAAAAUUUUCCCUAUAAAAUUAGAAAAAAGGCAAGGAUAUUCAAUUUUAACAUUCCUAUCCAAUGUCAUACAUACUAACAGUCCUAACUGGUACAAUAAGGCAACAAAACAAAAUAAAGGCAUAAAUUAGAAAAUGUUCCUUUGCACAAAUGAUAUGACUAUCUACAUAGAAAAUUCCAAGUAAUAAUAAUAAUAAUAAUAAUAAUACAAUACCCUUAGAACUAAUAAGUGAGUUUAACAAGGAUUAGGAUACAGUUCAACAUACAAUAAUCAACUGUACUUCUUUAUAUGAAGAAGGGAAACUAAAAUUAAUAAAUAAUACCAUUUGUAAUAGCUCCAGAAAUAAAACCUUAGACAAGUCAAAUAAAGUAUGGAUAUAAUCCAUAUUCUGAAAAUUACAAAAAGAAGAACAACUAAUGAAAGAAUUUUUUAAAAGGCCAAAAUAAAUGAAGAGACAUACUGUGUUCAUGAAUUGGAAGACUCAACAUAGUAAGGUUGGCAACUAAACCCACAUUGAUGUAUAAAUUUAAUGCAGUUCCAAUAAAGAAAGUCCUACAGGAUUUUUGCAGAUAGUCAAUCUUACUCUAAAAUUUAUAAGGAAAAAUCAAAGAAUAAAACAUACAAUUUUUGAACAACAAGAA